rnacentral:rRNA from 1 species
GAAACCGGGAUUAAUACCGCAUAAAAUCGUAGAAACACAUGUUUUAACGGUCAAAGAUUUAUCGGUCAUAGAUGGGCUCGCGUCUGAUUAGCUAGUUGGUGAGAUAACAGCCCACCAAGGCGACGAUCAGUAGCCGGUCUGAGAGGAUGAACGGCCACAUUGGAACUGAGACACGGUCCAA